CAAUAGCGUAUAUUAAAGUUGUUGCAGUUAAAAAGCUCGUAGUUGGAUUUCUGGUGGGAGCGAUCGGUCUGGCGCUUAGCGCGAGUACUUGCAUCGUCUCCGGCCAUCCUUGGGGAGAGUCUGUCUGGCAUUAGGUUGUCGGGCAGAGGAUCCUCAUCGUUUACUGUGAAAAAAUUAGAGUGUUCAAAGCAGGCUUAUGCCGUUGAAUAUAUUAGCAUGGAAUAAUAAGAUAGGACUUUGGUACUAUUUUGUUGGUUUGCGCACCAAAGUGAUGAUUAAUAGGGACAGUUGGGGGUAUUCGUAUUCCGUUGUCAGAGGUGAAAUUCUUGGAUUUACGGAAGACGAACUACUGCGAAAGCAUUUACCAAGGAUGUUUUCAUUAA
rnacentral:rRNA from 1 species